rnacentral:rRNA from 1 species
UACGAGGGGUGCAAGCGUUGCUCGGAAUUAUUGGGCGUAAAGGGUAGGUAGGUGGUCUCAUUUGUCUGGGGUGAAAGCCUUGAGCUUAACUCAAGAAGUGCCCCGGAAACGGUGAGACUGGAGUCCCGGAGAGGGUCGUGGAAUUCCCGGUGUAGCGGUGAAAUGCGUAGAGAUCGGGAGGAACACCAGGGGCGAAGGCGGCGACCUGGACGGGCACUGACACUCAACUACGAAAGCGUGGGGAGCAAACAGG